rnacentral:tRNA from 1 species
AGUGGCCUGGUGGUUAGCACCUCCGGCUGGAAAUCCAGAGGGCGCGGCUUCGAAUCCCG